rnacentral:rRNA from 1 species
GACGAACGCUGGCGGCGUGCUUAACACAUGCAAGUCGAACGGAAAGGCCCCUUUGGGGGUACUCGAGUGGCGGACGGGUGAGUAACACGUGAGUAACCUGCCCUUGACUUCGGGAUAACUUCCGGAAACUGGGGCUAAUACCGGAUAGGAAUCCUUGCUGCAUGGAGGGGGUUGGAAAGCUUCGGCGGUUUUGGAUGGACUCGCGGCUGAUCAGCUUGUUGGUGGGGUAGUGGCUUACCAAGGCUUUGACGGGUAGCCGGCCUGAGAGGGCGACCGACCACAUUGGGACUGAGAUACGGGCCAGACUCCUACGGGAGGCAGCAGUGGGGAAUAUUGCACCAUGGGCGGAAGCCUGAUGCCGCAACGCCGCGUGCGGGAUGACGGCCUUCGGGUUGGAAACCGCUUUCCGCAGGGGCGAAGCUUGUGGUGACGGUACCUGCAGAAGAAGCACCGGCUAACUACGUG